rnacentral:tRNA from 1 species
GGUUGUGGCUCAGUGGUAGAGUGCUUGCCUAGCACAUGUGAGGCACUGGGUUUGAUUCUCAGCACCA